GUUUAAUUCAUCCCUGGAGAAUGAAGAGAGAAGAUUUAGGAUUAUGUGACCUCAGAACUAUCCCUUGAGAGCUUCUGCUAGGUCCUUUCCAACAACUCUCACAUAUCCCCUGUCAUACACCUCUUUUCUUCCCUGCCUGAGCGGUGACUGAUCCUCUUGCUUUAAUAUCCCCCUUACUCUGUUCCUGUUGUGCAGCCAGGUGUUUGUUUUACCUUACCCCAUUUUAUGUGGCCCUGGGGGAGAAGGGAGAAGCAUCGCACCUGAAGUUGGGACUUGUCAUUUAAUAAAAUUGCAUUCAAAAUUAAACUCAUCCCUUUUACUGUUCAUUAAUGCAAGCCAGAAGGGAUCUAACUACCAACUAACACACCGAUGUAGCCAGCUGGUCAAGGGGGUGAUGUGUUUUGGAAAGGAUGUGCUCAUGGACACAGAAUGGUGGGUGUAGUCUGGGACUAUUUCUGUAACAGCACUUGUGACAGAGGCAUCACAGCUUCAAAGAAUAUCUGUGUAAGAGUGAGCUUAUCUCAUUUAAAACUAUUGCUCCACCCCCGUUUUUUGUUUUAAAAAGCAGCAUUUAGGUUACUUUUAAAUACAAAUUGGAUUUUACUAGAUAUCUAAAAUGACAGAGGAGCACAGUGAAGUAAGUUGAUAGCUAUAAUAUAGUAAGACCGAGCAAUACUAGAAAUCCAUCAUGUAAUGAGAAAGCAAACAUGUAACUUUAAUUUCAUGUUGUACGUGGCAGGAAUGUAAUAUUACUUAUAAAUACUCCUAACUGCUGAGCGCUGUAGUCACUGCAGUGCACUUAUCUGUAGUGUUUCUGUGAGGAUACCUAAUAAAAAGCAAAUCACGUUUUGUUAUUAUACUUUUGUGAUUCUCGUGCAUAGUUUUAGAGAAACAGUGGUAACCAUUAGGUGUAACUCUUAACAUGUUGAAUUAAAUUCAGUAAAACCUUGUGUUUUUCCUUUGAUUUAGACUUGUAUGAAAGAUAUAAAGUAAACGUAAGGAGGAACAGCUUUAAUUUCUGCUUGCCAUACUUAUUUCUGACAAUAAAUCAGGCACUGAAAGUGGACCAAGAAUGCAAAGUACAGUUUGAAAGCUCUUCAUGUACCAGCCCUUAAUAUGGAAGCUCCUGAAGUUGAGCAGCCUUCAUCACAUUAACAGCAAGUACAGCAUGAGUCUGCUUCAUCUGGAAGAAACAUGUUCUUGAAUUUGACGCACAGCCUUCAGAGUUGCUUGAUGCAAGGCUAAUGAAAUGCAGAGCAGCCUGACACCACUCAGAAAAAAAUAGACACAACACCAGUGCCUUUCCAGUUUGUGGUAACUAGUAUUGUACUGGGCAGAGAAGUGAUGCCUCUGAAGAAGCUGAUGCUAUCAAAAGAUAUAGAACCAGCAUCGCCAUCAGUAUUGAUGCCAGACACAGUGUAGUAUCUGCAGUGAUGUCCAGUAGUUUCUUCUCUACUUGUCUAGUAGAGAAGAAAAUGAGCAUUCAAAUUUGCCCUGCAAUAAUGCUGAAUGAUUCUGCUUAAACCAUCAUUGUAACCUUUUGGGAAUUUUGACUGUUGAAAUAAAAAUGGAAUCAUCACUUUCUUGUUCGGUCUAAAAUGUUAUGAAAGGCAGACUUCACUAGCAAAGUAUGACUUUUACUAUUGAUAAAACUAACUCUCUGCUUCAUAAUCUGCCUUGAGACAUGGAAUAGUUCAAACACAAGACAGAAAAAAGGUCAUGAAAAAGCUUUUUAGGCAUCAGAGGAAGUGUCUGAAACCGUAGGCAGAUAUACGCCUACUACAGUGAUGAUGGGAAGCAUGCCGUGGCUUCAGAUGUACUAGAUUGUGUGAAAAGUAUAAGGAGUGGUCAUGGAAUGCUUUAGAAAGCUUGCAGCUAUUUAGCAAAAAUAUUGAAGAUGCCCUGGGCUCUCUAAAGAAGUUAAGAGUGUAUGCUCGCUGUAGCAUUUCAUAUCAUUAAGCUACUGGCAGCAUGCAAUUCCUGAUGUUAGCGUCCGCUAAGCGUGACAUGUUAUUGCAGGCGGUCAAAAUACCAUGCCAAGAAGUGGCAGCAGGAAUGCUGUAAUCUUUCUUAAACGCAUUAGGGAUGUUCUGAUAUUGCGAAUGGCUAUUUUUAAUGGUUAUUCUGUACACAUUCUGGUGUUUUUCAGGGUUUAUGUUAAGCGUGGUUGAAUGUUGCACCUGAACAAUAUCAGCUACCCUUUGGGUUGUGCCAUCCAGCUUUGUUUCUGCCUAGGCUGUUUGCUGUUCUUCCCCAUCAGAGACUAUUCUACUGGUGUUACAAACAGGGAGAGUUCAGUUGCUCAGCGCAAUUCCAGGAAGAGGAAAAGAAAAAAUACAUCUUCCUCCAACUCCGAAUGUCCAUCUUUUCUGAAGUUAGGUGGUCAUACCACUGCGGAACUUGUCUUCAUCUUGCCAUUUUAUUACAUCAGUAGAUCAAAUGUGAGACUUGUGGGAGACAGUUUGCAGGACGUGUAUUUCUCUUUUCAGACGGCCCUGCUUGCAACAGAAGCUAUAAAGAUCACUUGGGUCUCUAAAUGUAGGACACUCUUGAGAGCUUUCACCAAAUACUUGAUAUUAGUUGGGGCUUAUCUCAGAAUACAAGGAGAAAUCACGCAUCCCUAUCUUUAAAGAUAAAACAACUAAAAAAAUCCCAAAAAGUCCGUAUUUCCCAUAUUUAACCCCCCUAACACAGCUAGAAUUAGGACAAUUUUAAACUCUACUUCAGUCAAAGCUGUUAUUUUUACUUUCUGGCAGGCUUGACUUAAUAAUUAGCAUUUUCAAUCAACUUCAGUAAGAGCUGUGUGAGCAUGUACCAUGUCUCCAGUGACAGACUGGCUAGAGUUAAUGUGUUCAUGACUUCUGGGUGUUUGUUUUCCAGCGAGGUGCAGAAACUCCAGCUGAGCAUGCAAAGUGAUAACAAAACUCUGGUAGGAGUGCAAAAAAAGAAAUACCAGAAGAAAAGAUUUGUAAUCACAUAAAUACUUGAUUAUAUAUAAAUGUUCUAACUGGGGGCAAUUCAUGUAGUGUAUCUUAUGUUUGUAUUAGAUUUAAGACCUAAUAAAACCAUUCAGCUGACAUCAGCUCUGAGUUGCAAAGAAAGGAACAUGAGUUGCCUCUGAAAUAAAGCUGCCUUGGUUGCUCUUACAUUUUGCAGAAUUUUGUCAGCCUCGGCACAGGUGAACUGAAGACCAGCCACCAUCCCACUGAUUCUUGCAUGUGUACAUCUCAGUUCCUUCAUGCUCAAUGCGAUGUCUGCGACACCUUGGUUUUGGCAGUAGGCAAGGCUCCUCACCUAGCAUAAGAGUGUUGGCCUAUAGGUAUUGCUGGUGCAAACUUCUGACCUUGAAACUGGCUUAAAAGGACAUAUAUACUCUUCUAGGAUUAUAAACUGAACACAAAUAAGUAUUUUUGAGAUGAGAAAUAACACUGCUAUAGUGAAUUGAAUUUAUUAUGUGAUUCGUAUGACACUGUACUUCCAUUUUAAAAAAAAAAUGCAAAACUUGUGAUAAUUUCCAAUUUGUAGCUAAAGACUUCACAAUAAGAUUUCCAUCAUGAUGUGCUCCUAGUAUAAUAUGGAGGCAAGCAGGUGUUUUAAAACUUGAUAUGGAACACUGUGUGUGUGUUUCUUCAUUUCAGUGGAAGUUACUGAACUUUCUCAUUAGAUUUUCCAUAAAAAUAUUGCACUGAAUAAAUUCUUCCUUUGGAUGCAAA